GCACCCUUUCUGCUCAGUGGUCGAGCGUUGGCUUUGGAAGCCACAGGUCGGUGUUUCAAAUCCACCCGGGCGCA
rnacentral:tRNA from 1 species